rnacentral:rRNA from 1 species
CACGUAGGAGGCGAGCGUUGUCCGGAAUCAUUGGGCGUAAAGAGCGCGCAGGCGGCUUGGCAAGUCGGGUGUGAAAUCCCGGGGCUCAACCCCGUGACUGCAUCCGAUACUGUCGGGCUAGAGGUGGGUAGGGGAGAGUCGGAAUUCCUGGUGUAGCGGUGAAAUGCGCAGAUAUCGAGGAGGAACGAGCCGGUGGCGAAGGCGGAUCUGCUGGGCCUUACCUGACGCUCAGGCGACGAAAGGCUAGGGGAGCGAACAGG